AGCUCUUUCUCAUCUCUCCCCUCAAUAAUAUAAAGCAAUAUAAAGUAGAUACAGAUAGACAGAUGGUAAAAGAAGUAAAGAACAUCUUAUAACAAUAUCAAUUUUUCCUUCCUCCAACUGAUUGCAAAAACAAUCCAAGGCCCUCACAAGGAAAUGGUGUCUCUCUACACAGUUAAAAUUGGCAAUCGUCUCCGAGCAAGCAUUCUCCGGAAGAGGAAAUGAUGGUAUACGGAAGAGGAAUGCGUUCCACGGAGGGCAUCCCCUCCCGCUCGCGCUACCCCUCCCCGCUACUUCCCACAUCACGCAUAGCUCCUGGAUCCGGCUCCUUCUACCGCUCCCAUCUUUCCCCUCUCCGGCGACCUAUGCCGCGCCCGUUCCUUCUCUUCCGGCAUCUCAGAGCUUCCAUUUUCGGGUGAUUUCUCGCAGCCCGCGGGAGGGAUCAGCCUCGUGAUGUUCGGCGCCCAGAUGAGCUUGGAGGAGGCCGAGAGCUUGCAUAAGAGAAAUGGAUAUGUUCAAUGUUGUGCCUCCAAUAGCUAGUUCUGAUCCAGUCCAGAAGCAAACUUCAGAUGGGUCAGAGGGAGGGAAAUAUGUGUGGUGGUUGAUAAUUGUAUUUUUUGUAUUGCUAGUUAUCACAAUAUUAUAUUACUAUUGUCGCGGUUGGUUAAUUAGAAUUCAAGACAAUGAAGAGAGAUCUAGGAGAGGUGACUUGAGAGAGAUUGAAUUAUUUCCAACAUCUUCAUAUUUAUCUCGAGAGACAAAAUCAUUAGUUGAUGAGGUUUGGGGUAGUGAUGAGAGAGAUCAUGAGGAUAUAGAGAGUUGUGCUAUAUGUUCUUCAGGGUUCAAGUUUGGAGAAAUGAUUCGAACAUUGCCAUGUAGCCACUUUUAUCAUACAGACUGUGUUAACAAAUGGUUGAUGACUAGAGCAACAUGUCCGCUAUGCCGGCGUAAUUUUUCACAAUAGCUUGUAUGAGUGCAAUACGUGCUUCAUGUUAGAUGGCAUGCUUAAUAGUAGUGCACUCAUACAAGCUAGUGUAAAAAAUCUUACUAGUAUUGCAACUCUGGUCAUCUAUCAUCUAUUAAUGCAGAAUGUGGUAUAAAUACCUACAUAGCAUUGUUUGAAUCAUUUCUCCAAAUUUGAACUCUGAAAAAUAUGUAGCACAACUGUAUCCUCGUACUCUUUCAUUGCUACCCACACUGUCAUCAACUAAUAAUUCUCUCUCGAGCUAAGCAUGAAGAUGUUGCAAAUAAUUUUCUCUCUCUCACGUACAAUCUGCAUCUCCUGGAUCUCUCGUUAUUAUCUUGAGUUCUAACUAUCCUAAAACAACAAUAUAAAUACAAUGCCUUGGAUAAUCUAAUUUUUAAUACCUUGGUUUCAAAUUUGAAAUAUUGGAAUCCAGACAUGAUUUUGGAGUUGAAUUGAAUGUUUUAAACCAAUAGUCUAUGACAUUUUUUGCAUCUGAAUCCAUAUCUAUUAUGAUCUUGGUCAUGUUUGGAUUUUGCAUUCCUUAAUCAUAUUUUGUUUCUACUCAUAUGGGAUUGUCUUUGAUAACCUUUGUUACCACAAACAAAUAAUUGCAUUCAGCAUGAUCAAAAAAUUAAGACCCCUGAGGAUGCUUGAUAAUAUUUAGCAAUGAAAUUAGUAUUUUCCAAAUCAAUGAUUCUUAUCAUAGGCAAAGAAGAUGUCUUGCCCUCAUUAUGGAUCCUUACAUAAUUGAAGUCCUUAAUGGAGGAUUGUUUGUUUGGUUCCAUGAUGAUCUUUUGUUUUUAUUUUUUGAUUUGUUUGCUGAGGAAGUGGUAUAUAGAAUAGAUAGCUAUUCGCGACUAUCUAGGGUGGAUUGACUACCUUGUAUGUGUUACUUUUAUGAAGUCGGUUUUUAGAUUUUGGAUACUGAAUAGGUUACCAACUGUGGCCUUUUUGCCACUAGAAUCUUCUUGAUAGUCAAUACUUUGCAGUUACUUUGUAGUACGUAGAUGACUGUUCGUAAGCCAAGUUUUAUGAGAUGGAGUAUUUUGUGAUUGCUAGUUCUUGCUUUGGGGCAUCUCAGGGGUAAAUGUAAUGUUGAUCAGAGCACUUAUUUUGUUGGUGUGUGAAUAUAAAAAUACCUUUUGGCCCUGUAGGAAGUCAGAGUGUUUUAUCGUGGCUUGGCGUUGUGCCGAUGUUUCUUAUAUAAAAGGGCUUAAACUGUGUCAUUCAAGAGGUGGUGCACAAAUUGAUGUGGAAUCAAGAUUUGUCGUACCAGAUAGGAUCAGUGCAUACCGAUCGUAUACCAGUAUGAAUCGAUAUAUGCGAUACAAAGAGCGUGCCGAUACUUGGUACGUCAAAAUCUUUCACACCAAGGGUGUCAAACAGCUGCACUCAUUCCAAGCCGAACUAUGGCAGUCACAUGUGACUUUGCAUGGAGAACUUCUUGUAGAAGAAUUCACUUUGUCCGCAGCUAAGCAGACGCCAUAGCCAGCCAGUGCUUAUUUCAUAUACACAUUGACUCUUCUUAGCAAAUGUUAAAAGAUUUAUUUUGGCAGAUUGGUUUUGAUUUUACGUGUGUAUAUUUGGUAAAAGGACAUGAUGUUGCUUUUGAUUUUGUUUAAGAUCUGGUAAAGAGGCAUGAUAUGGCUAUUAGUUAUGGUGGUUAAUCCAUUUCACAAAUAAAUUCAAGCACUUAUAAUGCUGUUCAUCUAGGGUUUAGGGUUAUGGGAUCAAGCCCCAUUUUUAUUCCUCCAGCACAGCUCUCAUUUCUGUUUGUAUUAUUGACUUUCAUAUAUUUAACUCUAUGAUUG